rnacentral:lncRNA from 1 species
CUGUCUGAUUAGUGCCCUUUGCUUCAAGACAACAGAAGGAAAUCCAACUUUGUGUAUUCUCGUACUUAAAGAAGUCUCACAGGACAAAUCCAUUCCAUCUUGAAGUGGGGCCUCUUAGAUAAAGACUAUCAAGAACUGUCCAAAUGCAUUAAUUGAAGUCUACUCCACUAGUUUCACCUGGAAUCUCACUUCUCCAUCCACUUACUUGGCUUUUUGGUCAAUUCAUACAUAACACAUUGCACUCUGUUUAAUUGCACACUCAAUAAUAAGUGUGCAUGUGAACUUUGGAAAACAUAACCUGAGUUAAUACUACUAUUUACAUAUC